rnacentral:piRNA from 1 species
UGCUGAAGGGCUUUGGCAAAGACGG